UUGCUUGUGCUACAGGAAACCUGACUGGAGUGCGAAAGAUGAGGAGGUGCAUGAGUGCAGUGGUGGUUCAGUAACAGAGCCAGUCCUCCUGAUCCCCCAAAAAGGGGAAUCCCAAGGAUAAGGACCAGAGCCUUGAGGGAGAGAAGGCCCUUGAGGAGCGUGGUUGAGUGUCUUCUUGUUCCCAGGUGACCACAGGAAGGUCCUAAAACUGAGGACAGAGCCACCAGAGCUUACCAGAGCCCAGAAUUUAUAUUACUAGUCAUUAGAAGGAUGAAUGUUCCAGUCUGCUGAAGAUUUUGAAAUCUGAUGCUUCUGAAGAGGAAUAAACUUGAAUGUUUUAAAGUGUCACAAAGAUGGACUUUGGAAAAAAUACUUUAGAUCCAGCAGGAAAUCUGCCCACUUACACUUUAGAGGUAUUGAUGGAGUCUUAUCUGUCAAAUCAGAUUCAAGAUCAGAAUGUACCAGUACAAUAAUCUAAACUGUCUUUUUGUAUAACACAAGUCAAAGAAACUCAGAUACUCUUUCCUUAUGAACCCCCAAGCAUCUGUUGUAUCCACAAGAUAUUUUUUUUAUUCAGAAAAAAAUUAAAUUAAGGAUCACACAUUAUGAAGAAUUCAUCAGAGCACUUGUUAAUUUGUUCUGUAGUUAAUCCUCCUAAUGCUUAAAAAUGUGCCUUAUUUAUAGAUGGAAUUUAUCUAGCUCCUGGAUAUCAGCAUGCUUUUUAACUUCUGGAGUAUAGGGUAGUUGUCUACAGCAAAUCCUUUUUUCUAUAUGGGCUCUUGUAGAUCAUG